rnacentral:rRNA from 1 species
AGUGAACGCUGGCGGUAGGCCUAACACAUGCAAGUCGAACGGCAGCACAGGAGAGCUUGCUCUCUGGGUGGCGGGUGGCGGACGGGUGAGGAAUACAUCGGAAUCUACCUUUUCGUGGGGGAUAACGUAGGGAAACUUACGCUAAUACCGCAUACGACCUACGGGUGAAAGUGGGGGACCGCAAGGCCUCACGCGAUUAGAUGAGCCGAUGUCCGAUUAGCUAGUUGGCGGGGUAAUGGCCCACCAAGGCGACGAUCGGUAGCUGGUCUGAGAGGAUGAUCAGCCACACUGGAACUGAGACACGGUCCAGACUCCUACGGGAGGCAGCAGUGGGGAAUAUUGGACAAUGGGCGCAAGCCUGAUCCAGCCAUACCGCGUGGGUGAAGAAGGCCUUCGGGUUGUAAAGCCCUUUUGUUGGGAAAGAAAUCCUGUCGAUUAAUACUCGGUGGGGAUGACGGUACCCAAAGAAUAAGCACCGGCUAACUUCGUGCCAGCCGCCGCGGUAA